AUGGGCAACAUCGCUCCCAACGACGGGCCGUCGUCGCCGACUGCGUCGGCCAUCGUCGCGCAGGCCGUGUUUGGGUCGCACGUCGUCAAGAUAGACGGCUACUCCCGCAUCAAGGGGCUUGGCAAUGGCACAUGCAUCAAGUCCGAGACUUUCACCAUCAGAGGCCAUCCCUAGUGUAUGCGCUACUACCCAGACGGCGAACGGACUAAAGACGCAGAUUGGAUAUCCACCUAUCUGUGCCUUGAUGAGACUGAUGCUAGUGAAGUUAAAGCAGGGUACAAGAUAAGUUUGCUUGACCAAAACAGGCAACCAGUGGCAAAGUACAGCUUUUGCAGCAGCGAGAGACACACAUUCACCGCGAAAAAUCCCUCAUGGGGCUUCGCUCAAUUCAUGAAGAGGAAGAACUUGGAGGAAUCCCCUUACCUUAGGGAUGACGUUUUCAGCAUCAGGUGGGAUGUCUCCGUGUCAAAGGAGAUCUUCACCGAGCCAAUCCCACCGCACGUGGUCGUGCCACCGUCCAACAUGCACCAACAUCUUGGACAACUGCUCUUGGCCGGCGAGGCGGCCGAUGUUACCUUCGAGGUUGGCGAGGAGACAUUAGCUGCGCACAGGUGCAUACUCGCAGCUCGGUCACCGGUCUUCAGGGCCCAGCUCCUUGGCCCCAUGAAGGAGAAGACCGCAACUCAAGUGCUGAUCGACGACAUGGAAGCCAGGGUGUUCAAGGCGUUGCUCCACUUCAUCUACACAGACUCGUUGCCCGCCAUGGACGAAGGCGGUGCGGCGGAGAUUGCUCAGCAUCUACUGGUGGCGGCUGACAGGUAUGAUAUGGAGAGGCUGAAGCUGAUCUGUGAGGGGAAGCUGUGUGAUCACAUCUGCAAAAGCACGGUGGCAACCACGCUAGCACUGGCUGAGCAGCACGGUUGUGGUGCUCUCAAGAAGGCAUGCGUCAAGUUCCUGAUGUCUCCGGGUAACCUGAAGGCGGUCAUGCAAUCUGAUGGAUGUGAGCACGUGAGGAGCAGUUGCCCGGCUGUUCUGGACGAACUGCUCGCCAAGCUUGCUCCAUGA
rnacentral:rRNA from 1 species